GAUGAACGCUGGCGGCAGGCCUAAUACAUGCAAGUCGAGCGAACCGGGGAGGGGUGAGUAACACGUGGAUAACAUCCUAUAAGCCUAAGAUCACUUCGGGAAACCGGAGCUAAACCGGAUACUAAUCCAUAGUACCACGGUGCAUUAGCUAGUUGGUAAGGUAACGGCUACCCAAGGCAACGAUGCAUAGCCGACCUGAGAGGCGGUUCGGCAACACUGGAACUGAGAAACAGGCCAGACCCCGACGCGAGGCAGCAGUGGGGAAUCUUCCGCAAUGGGCGAAAGCCUGACGGAGCAAUGCCGCGUGAUUUAUGAAGGUCUUCGGAUUGUAAAACUCUGUUAUUAGGGAAGCGGUACCUAAUCAGAAAGCAACGGCUAACUCCGUGCCAGCAGCCGCGGUAAUUG
rnacentral:rRNA from 1 species